CACUCAUGUUGUCUCUAGAGGCUGAUUCCCAGUCCUUCUUUACACAGUGGAACAUGCGGUCUGCCACAUCAAAGGAACCUCCCUGUGGGAGAGUAGAGGUCAGUGCCUGAGAGGAGCAGAGGUGGAGGUGCAUACUCAGUGCUGAGGGUGUCAGUGCUUCAGAGGAGCAGAGGUGGAGGUGCAUACUCAGUGCUGAGGGUGUCAGUGCCUCAGAGGAGGAGAGGUGGAGCUGCAUACUCAGUGCUGAGGGUGUCAGUGCCUCAGAGGAGGAGAGGUGGAGGGGCAUACUCAGUGUCGGGGUAUCAGUGCCUCAGAGGAGGAGAGGUGGAGGUGCAUACUCAGUGUGGGGGUAUCAGUGCCUCAGAGGAGGAGAGGUGGAGGUGCAUACUCAGUGCUGAGGGUGUCAGUGCCUCAGAGGAGGAGAGGUGGAGGUGCAUACUCAGUGCUGAGGGUGUCAGUGCCUCAGAGGAGGAGAGGUGGAGGGGCAUACUCAGUGUCGGGGUAUCAGUGCCUCAGAGGAGGAGAGGUGGAGGUGCAUACUCAAUGUGGGGGUAUCAGUGCCUCAGAGGAGGAGAGGUGGAGGGGGAUACUCAGUGU